UAACGAUGUCGACUGGCGAUCCGUCUCCGUUAACUGAAUGACUAGACGGGCAGCCUCCGGGAAACCAAAGUGUUUGGAUUCUGGGGGAAGUAUGGUUGCAAAGCUGAAACUUAAAGGAAUUGACGGAAGGGCACCACCAGGAGUGGAGCCUGCGGCUUAAUUUGACUCAACACGGGAAAACUCACCAGGCCCGGACACCGGAAGGAUUGACAGAUUGAGAGCUCUUUCUUGAUUCGGUGGGUGGUGGUGCAUGGCCGUUCUUAGUUGGUGGAGCGAUUUGUCUGGUUAAUUCCGAUAACGAACGAGACUCUGGCCUACUAACUAGACGUUGGAUCCCUUGUGGGUCCUUCGCAGCUUCUUAGAGGGACGGGCGGCGUUUAGCCGCACGAGAUAGAGCAAUAACAGGUCUGUGAUGCCCUUAGAUGUUCUGGGCUGCACGCGCGCUACACUGAAGGUAUCAGCAUGUGUUCCCUGUCCGAAAGGAUCGGGAAACCCUCUGAACCACCUUCGUGAUGGGGAUUGGGGAUUGCAAUUAUUCCCCAUGAACGAGGAAUUCCUAGUAGGCGUGAGUCAUCAGCUUGCGUCGAUUACGUCCCUGCCCUUUGUACACACCGCCCGUCGCUACUACCGAUCGAGUGAUUUAGUGAGGCCUUUGGACUGGUCUUCGUUAUGGCUUUCGGGUCGUGCCGGAGUACCGGGAAGAUGACCAAACUUGAUUACUUAGAGGAAGUAAAAGUCGUAACAAGGUUUCCGUA
rnacentral:rRNA from 1 species